rnacentral:rRNA from 1 species
GAGUUUGAUCAUGGCUCAGGAUGAACGCUGGCGGCGUGCUUAACACAUGCAAGUCAAACAAACCUUCGGGUUAGUGGCGGACGGGUGAGUAACGCGUGGGAAUCUGCCCUCAGGAGGGGGAUAACGGUUGGAAACGACCGCUAAUACCCCAUAUGCCGAGAGGUGAAAUGAAUUUCGCCUGAGGAUGAGCCCGCGUCUGAUUAGCUUGUUGGUGAGGUAAAGGCUCACCAAGGCAUCGAUCAGUAGCUGGUCUGAGAGGAUGAUCAGCCACACUGGGACUGAGACACGGCCCAGACUCCUACGGGAGGCAGCAGUGGGGAAUUUUCCGCAAUGGGCGAAAGCCUGACGGAACAACGCCGCGUGAGGGACGAAGGCCUCUGGGUUGUAAACCUCUUUUCUCGAGGAAGAAGAUAUGACGGUACUUGAGGAAUAAGCCACGGCUAAUUCCGUGCCAGCAGCCGCGGUAAUACGGGAGUGGCAAGCGUUUUCCGGAAUUUUUGGGCGUAAAGCGUCCGCAGGCGGCCCUUCAAGUAUGUUGGUAAAGCGUGGAGCUUAACUCCAUCAAAGCAAUGGAAACUGAUUGGCUUGAGUAUGGUAGGGGCAGAGGGAAUUCCCGGUGUAGCGGUGAAAUGCGUAAAUAUCGAGAAGAACACCAGUGGGGAAGGCGCUUUGCUGGGCCAUUACUGACGCUCAUGGAACGAAAGCCAGGGGAGCGAAAGGGAUUAGAUACCCCUGUAGUCCUGGCCGUAAACGAUGAACAUUAGGUGUCGGGGGGAAUCGACCCCCUUCGUGUGUCCUAUCUAACGCGUUUAAGUGUUCCGCCGGGGAGUACGCACGCAAGUGUGAAAAUCAAAGGAAUUGACGGGGGCCCGCACAAGCAAGGAAGAAUGUGGUUAAUUAGAUGCAACGCGAAGGACAUUUCCAGGGCUUGACAUCCUGCGAACCUUUAAGAAAAUAAAUGGUGCCUUCGGGAACGCAGUGACAGGUGGUGCAUGGCUGUCGUCAGCUCGUGUCGUGAGAUGUUGGGUUAAGUCCCGCAACGAGCGCAACCCACGUUUUUAUUUGCCAGCAUUUAGUUGGGCAGUAUAGAAAGACCGCCGGUGGUAAACCGGAGGAAGGUGUGGAUGACGUCAAGUCAUCAUGCCCCUUACGUAACUGGGCUACACACGUAUUACAAUGCUAAGGACAAAGGGCAGCAAACUCGCGAGAGCUAGCAAAUCCCAUAAACCGUGGGUCAGUUCAGAUCGUAGGGUGCAAAUCGCCUACGUGAAGUAGGAAUAGCUAGUAAUUGCAGGUCAGCAUAAUGCGGUGAAUAUGUUUCCGGGCCUUUUACACACCGCCCGUCACACCAUGGAAGUUGGCCACGCCCGAAGUAGUUUCUUUUACCCCUGUGGAGAAGGACGCCGAGGGUGGGGCUGAUGACUGGGGGGAAGUUGUAAAAAGGUAUCC